GUGAGCGACUCACCAGGACAGUUUUAUUUCUGUGCUGAGCUUGCUGCUUCCUGCUGGGAAAAUGUUAGUGGCGGAGUCACACCCAGAAACAAAGUACAUUUGCUUUUGAAAAGCCAAGCCAUACGGACGACAAACAAUAUGAUGAAAGGUCACUCAGAACCCCACCCUAGAAGAAAGCCAGAAGUCCUGGUUCGGCCCAAGAGGUGGGAUGAAGAGUUUCACUAGAUCGUCUCCCUUUUGGCUGAUGUCACAGCAAAUAUUCAUCAGCCAUCAGCCAGACUGGAUAGCAGGCCAAAAACGUGGCCGUCUGGUCUCACGUUGGAAGUUCUGUUUUAAACUUUGUGACCUUGAUUCC
ensembl:lncRNA novel transcript